AGUGGCGGACGGUUGAGGAAUACAUCGGAAUCUACUUUUUCGUGGGGGAUAACGUAGGGAAACUUACGCUAAUACCGCAUACGACCUACGGGUGAAAGCAGGGGAUCUUCGGACCUUGCGCGAUUGAAUGAGCCGAUGUCGGAUUAGCUAGUUGGCGGGGUAAAGGCCCACCAAGGCGACGAUCCGUAGCUGGUCUGAGAGGAUGAUCAGCCACACUGGAACUGAGACACGGUCCAGACUCCUACGGGAGGCAGCAGUGGGGAAUAUUGGACAAUGGGCGCAAGCCUGAUCCAGCCAUACCGCGUGGGUGAAGAAGGCCUUCGGGUUGUAAAGCCCUUUUGUUGGGAAAGAAAUCCAGCUGGCUAAUACCCGGUUGGGAUGACGGUACCCAAAGAAUAAGCACCGGCUAACUUCGUGCCAGCAGCCGCGGUAAUACGAAGGGUGCAAGCGUUACUCGGAAUUACUGGGCGUAAAGCGUGCGUAGGUGGUUGUUUAAGUCUGUUGUGAAAGCCCUGGGCUCAACCUGGGAACUGCAGUGGAAACUGGACAACUAGAGUGUGGUA
rnacentral:rRNA from 1 species